rnacentral:rRNA from 1 species
GGUAGAUAGGACAGAGGUGGAAGUGCAGUAAUGUAUGGAGCUGACUGUUACUAAUCGGUCGAGGGCAUAACCA